GCGACCCCAGGACGGGCGAGGCCACCCGCCGAGUUUAAGCAUAUCAAUAAGCGGAGGAGAG
rnacentral:rRNA from 1 species